UCCCGGAUUUCGCUUGAACUGAGGCAGAGGCGGGGGACCCACGUCCCGGGCAACGCAGUACUGCCCUUGGGGUUAAGCCAGCACGUGUAUUUGCCGUGCGGCCGGAUGCCCUCAUCCGAACCCGACAGCUAACUCCGCAGGUGUGAGAGGCGAAAUAA
rnacentral:sRNA from 2 species